UACGGGGGGGGCAAGCGUUGUUCGGAAUUACUGGGCGUAAAGGGCGCGUAGGCGGCCGAUCAAGUCGAGUGUGAAAUUGCAGGGCUUAACUUUGCAGGGUCGCUCGAUACUGGUAGGCUAGAGUGUGGAAGAGGGUGCUGGAAUUCCCGGUGUAGCGGUGAAAUGCGCAGAUAUCAGGAGGAACACCAAUGGCGAAGGCAGCACUCUGGGACGUGACUGACGCUGAGACGCGAAAGCGUGGGGAGCAAACAGG
rnacentral:rRNA from 1 species